GGUAAAUCAUGCUGUGUUUAUUGUACGGAGAGAGAAACUCUUCAGAAAUAACACCAAUACAAGAUAUCAGGUGUUUAAAUAUGGACAUAUUGGUCCCAUAGCAUUCACCAGCAACAUGAACAUGUUCAGGACAAUCAGGAAGGUAGAGGACAUGAGCAUGUUCAGGACAAUCAGGAAGGUAGAGGACAUGAGCAUGUUCAGGACAAUCAGGAAGAUAGGACAUGUUCAGGACAAUCAGGAAGGUAGAGGACAUGAGCAUGUUCAGGACAAUCAGGAAGGUAGAGGACAUGAACAUGUUCAGGACAAUCAGGAAGGUAGAGGACAUGUUCAGGACAAUCAGGAAGGUAGAGGACAUGUUCAGGACAAUCAGGAAGGUAGAGGAGAUGUUCAGGACAAUCAGGAAGGUAGAGGAGAUGUUCAGGACAAUCAGGAAGGGAGAGGACAUGUUCAGGACAAUCAGGAAGGGAGAGGACAUGUUCAGGACAAUCAGGAAGGUAGAGGAGAUGUUCAGGACAAUCAGGAAGGUAGAGGAGAUGUUCAGGACAAUCAGGAAGGUAGAGGACAUGAACAUGUUCAGGACAAUCAGGAAGGUAGAGGACAUGAACAUGUUCAGGCCAAUCAGGAAGAUAGAGGACAUGAACAUGUUCAGGACAAUCAGGAAGGUUGAGGACAUGUUCAGGACAAUCAGGAAGGUAGAGGACAUGAACAUGUUCAGGACAAUCAGGAAGGGAGAGGACAUGUUCAGGACAAUCAGGAAGGGAGAGGACAUGUUCAGGACAAUCAGGAAGGUAGAGGCUAGAAACAUUUCAAUCAAACAGCCCAGAAACACAAUAUUACACAUUCAGUGUGAAAGUUAGACAUUGUAUAACAUGUAGAACAUUAAAUAAUAAAUAUAGUGUCAAAGCUUUUUACCCUCUAAACUGGACUUGAUGGGAAUGAAGACAGGAGAUAUGAGGGGGGUGAUACUGAUGGGAGAUAUGGGGGGGGUGAUACUGAUGGGAGAUAUGGGGGGGGGUGAUACUGAUGGGAGAUAUGAGGGGGGGG
rnacentral:lncRNA from 1 species